GUAAGCACAAGGCAGCACUGUGCGUCCUGUGCUGUGGCUGUCUGUACUCUCUGUACUCUCAUUACACUCUAUCCCAUUCCUGAGAGCUAGCUUCAGGGUGAAGAAGGCCCUGCUCUAACAAGCUUGCAAUCUGUGAGCAUGGCUAUAUUAGUUUAAGUGCCAUUUUAAAGCAUUAUUUUAAAGUAUAUGUUUAUGUGUAUGGACUUUUAUGUGUAAGGACUUGCCAUAUAAAAC